AACGCGAAGAACCUUACCGAGGCUUGACAUCCUUGGAAUCCACUGGAAACAGAGGAGUGCCGCAAGGAACCAAGUGACAGGUGCUGCAUGGCCGUCGUCAGCUCGUGUCGUGAGAUGUUGGGUUAAGUCCCGCAACGAGCGCAACCCUUAUCGUAUGUUGUACUUUUCAUACGAGACUGCCCGAGGUAAUCGGGAGGAAGGUGGGGAUGAGGUCAGGUCGGCAUGGCCCUUACGCCUCGGGCCACACACGUCAUACAAUGGCCGGUACAACGCGCUGCGAACCCGCGAGGGGGAGCUAAUCGCAUCAAAACCGGUCUCAGUUCGGAUUGGAGGCUGCAACUCGCCUCCAUGAAGUCGGAUUCGCUAGUAAACGCAGGUCAGCAUACCGCGUUGAAUACGUUCCCGGGCCUUGUACACACCGCUCGCGA
rnacentral:rRNA from 1 species